AUUGAACGCUGGCGGCAGGCCUAACACAUGCAAGUCGAACGCGUGGCGGGCGGGUGUGUAUUAUCUGUGAAACUGUCCGUUGGGGAGGGAUAUCUCCUGUAAAAGGUAGCUAAUAUCCCACACCCCCGGAGAUGUGCACAUGGGAUUAGCUUGUAGGUGGGGUAACGGCGCACCUAGGCGACGAUCCCUAGCUGGUCUGAGAGGAUGACCAGCCACACUGGAACUGAGACACGGUCCAGACUCCUACGGGAGGCAGCAGUGGGGAAUAUUGCACAAUGGGCGCAAGCCUGAUGCAGCCAUGCCGCGUGUAUGAAGAAGGCCUUCGGGUUGUAAAGUACUUUCAGCGGGGAGGCGUUACCCGCAGAAGAAGCACCGGCUAACUCCGUGCCAGCAGCCGCGGUAAUAC
rnacentral:rRNA from 1 species